AAGGUGAAUAAGCUUCAGGAUGUGAGGAACAACAGCUCUGCUAAAGCACAGGAAAAUCUCUAUCAAAGAGUGUUUUGUUUAGACACAAAAUAAUUCUUUUCCCCUCCCCUCCAAUUUUUUUGGCAACAAACAAACCAAGGAGUUGACGUCUUUGCAAAGGUGAACUGCUGAAGUGACUUGUAACACUAUCAACCCAAUUUUUAAAAGGGAACAUCUUCUUGGUGAAACACAACGUGUGAGAUGCAGCUGAGUGGCAGAACAUGUUUGGCCUGAAUAAGAUCCCAAGUUCAAUUCUCAGCAUGAUGAGAGUUGUUCUAAGAACUGAAGAGAAUUAAGUUGUGAGAAGCAUGUCACCUUGACCUCACAUGAAGGUAAGAUAUGAAUGUAAAUAAUAAAUUACAUUUCUCCCUAGAGAGUGAUUUUUCUUCAACAAAGUUAC
rnacentral:lncRNA from 11 species